GCGUCGUACUUGCGACAAGUCUAUCGGGAAAUCCACCUGCCCAACAGGUGGGCGUCCGGUAGAAACUGGCCGGCUUGGAACCGGAAGGCUCAGAGAGUACGUCCGGGGUAGGAGUGAAAUCCCGUAAUCCCGGACGGACUACCGAUGGCGAAAGCACUCUGAGAAAACGGAUUCGACAGUGAGGGACGAAAGCUCGGGUCUCAAACC
rnacentral:rRNA from 1 species